UGGGGAAUCUUGCGCAAUGGGGGAAACCCUGACGCAGCGACGCCGCGUGCGGGAUGAAGGCCUUCGGGUUUUAAACCGCUUUCAGCAGGGACGAGGCCUUAUGGUGACGGUACCUGCAGAAGAAGCUCCGGCUAAAUACGUGCCAGCAGCCGCGGUAAUACGUAUGGAGCAAGCGUUAUCCGGAUUCAUUGGGCGUAAAGCGCUCGUAGGCGGUCUGUUAGGUCGGCAAGUUAAAUCCGGGGGCUCAACCCCCGUCCGCUUCCGAUACCGGCAGACUUGAGUUUGGUAGGGGAAGGUGGAAUUCCUAGUGUAGCGGUGGAAUGCGCAGAUAUUAGGAAGAACACCGGUGGCGAAGGCGGCCUUCUGGGCCAUAACUGACGCUGAGGAGCGAAAGCUAGGGGAGCGAACAGG
rnacentral:rRNA from 1 species